GGAGUCUGGGCCGUGUCUCAGUCCCAAUGUGGCCGUCCGCCCUCUCAGGCCGGCUACCGAUCGUCGCUUUGGUGGGCCGUUACCCCGCCAACUGGCUAAUCGGACGCGGGUCCAUCUCAUACCACCGGAGUUUUUCACACCGUACCAUGCGGUACUGUGCGCUUAUGCGGUAUUACCAGUCGUUUCCAACUGCUAUCCCCCUGUAUGAGGCAGGUUACCCACGCGUUACUCACCCGUCCGCCGCUAACCAGUCAUAAGUUCAUAGCAAGCUAUUCACUUAAUCAGGUCCGCUCGACUUGCAUGUGUUAGGCACGCCGCCAGCGUUCAUC
rnacentral:rRNA from 1 species